rnacentral:lncRNA from 1 species
CCGCGCCCCCAGCCGUAUUUCCGCGGGCGCUGAGCACUAGAGAGAGCGUCUUGUGGCUGCGGCCUGCCCCUCAGCCUCCUCCGCGCGGUUACCCCUGUACCCGCCGCCAUCCGUCCUGGCGCUCCGGAUGAGUCAAUGAGGGGCAGGGCCCGAGGAGUGGUCUUCCCAAGAACCCCUGGUGGCCUCCCAAGGCCGGUGCUGUGUACCUCCUCCCCGACAAAAGGGGAAACUGAGGCCCCGAGGGGAGUGGGAAGAGCCGGCUGGACGUCAGGCCCAGCCGCUGGUGCAGUGGCCUCGUGGGCUGUGCGGCUAUCCUGGAGACAGAUGACAGCUCUCCCUUGGAUGGCUUUGCUGGUUCCGCACCAGCCAGCGCCCCCAUUUUUCCUGCAGCACCCUGAUCUGCACUCCCUGAGGGGCUCCCACUGUCCGCGGUGUGAGGAUGUCCCUGGAUAGUCCACUGUGUGCAGAGGCAUGGGAGUUGUCAUGUUGGGAACAUGCUAGACCUCAGUAUCCUUGAGGGAUGCUGCCUUGGGUCUGGAAACUGUUAGAGGAAACCCCAAGAGGUGCAGGCACUGAGCCUCUCAGGACAAUGACCUGGGGUCCCAGCUCCCCUGGAGGGGCCUCCUCAUGAUUGUUUGGGGGUUGAUCACAGACCAAGAGUGACGAGUGAUGUCACCCUGUGACUCAUGGCUGGACCUUCUUGCCCCUAUUGUCUCAGCACAACAUUAUUCGACUUUUCCCUCAGCGUGGGUGGGCAGAGGAAAAGCCCUGUGGCUCUGGGGACUUGGGAUCCAGAGUUGAAGACCCUUCAGCUGGCUCUGCCCUGCCAGUGCCACAGAGUGCCAUGGCCCAGGAAGACAGGUUUUCUUCCAUCUAGGCCAGGCCAUCCAGUGGCCAUCCUCCGUGUCCUCCCGCCUCCUCCUGGUGUGACUUCUGAAAACCAAGAAUUUGUUCCUGUUGACUUUUUCUGUGCUAUGGACCAUUGUCCUCUCACCCACUCAAUAAAUCUUGAAACAUG